rnacentral:rRNA from 1 species
CGGGACGGGUGAGUAAUGUCUGGGAAACUGCCUGAUGGAGGGGGAUAACUACUGGAAACGGUAGCUAAUACCGCAUAACGUCGCAAGACCAAAGAGGGGGACCUUCGGGCCUCUUGCCAUCGGAUGUGCCCAGAUGGGAUUAGCUGGUAGGUGGGGUAACGGCUCACCUAGGCGACGAUCCCUAGCUGGUCUGAGAGGAUGACCAGCCACACUGGAACUGAGACACGGUCCAG